CCUGGUGCUUCAAAAUACUUGUCAAUCAAUGAGUUCAUCAGAUGUUUUGACAGGUGGGCUGGCCCAUGGGCCCAUUGGACCACCGCUGGAUACAUAUUUCUGGGUAGGCAAAACUUGAGAUUGAUAGUGUAAACAUCAUCACGGAGUACAGCUCCUUUGUUCUUCCAACUUUGUUUCUCCUGGGGAGUAGCAGCAGCUCGUUGUUCCUUUAGAAGCCUAAGAUCCGUAGGCAGUGUCUGCAUAGUGUAGAUGGGUACUGCAUCUGUGGCCACUCUUCUGUCCACUUCCCAUCCUUGUCGUGCUGCUUCCUUAGCGGCCUGAUCAGCUAAGUGGGGAAAUAUCAGGGUCACAGUCUAUGAUGAGUGGGUCCUCAUGGACGUCUGUGUGGUACCUAGGGUACCCUGCUGUACAGUUGUUAAUAGUCUUUUUGCUGGUCCCCAUAGAAGUCAGUUGUUCUUGGUUCAUUUGACUCCAGGUCUUGGCCAUCGGGCCUAGGUCUUUCCAUGAGGUGUCAGAGGAUCUGGUGAGAGAUAUGUGUGGGAUAGCUGUUUCCCAAUGAUGGUAGAGAUGUGUCAUGUUCUCUGGAAGAUGGACUAAGAUGAGCAUGGUACCUGUGGGGUCCCAUAACAAGUCAGUCAGGGUAAUUGGAAUUUCCUUGAGCUGGAAUAAUUCUUCCUCAUAGUUCAUAUCAGGGCCUGGUCUGUCUUUAAACCAUAAGGUGCAGUGAAGUAGGGCCUCUGAUUGUUCAUUAUGUGGGGGUGCAAGUGCAGGCAGCUGCAAAUCUGCUCAAACCUCUGGGUUGAUGUCCAGGCUAUACCAGUAAUGCACAAUUCCCCCCUUGGGAAGUGGCAGAAGAGUGGCCGGGUUCAGGGAGAGACAUCGCUGAAGUUCCACAUUGUCAGGUUACAGUAAGGAUGUUUGUAGACGAAGGUAACGUUGAGAAGAAAGGUGCUUAGGUUGAGUUUGUUGCAGGAUUGCAGUAAUGUCAUGAGGGGCCAACACUGUGAGGUGGUGGCCAAGAACAAAUCAUUGGUCUUGUCCAGGAGGGCGCUGGCGGCAAACACCGCUCUGAGGCAAAAGGGACUACCUCUCGCAACAGGGUCAAGCAUGCAGGAAAAAUAGCCAAUAGGUCGUUGUCUUGAUCCAUGUUUCUGGGUGAGGACUCCGGAAGCAUGUCCUGAUUUUUCAGAGACAAACAGAUUGAAAGGAAGUUGGUAGUUGGGUAGGCCCAAGGCAGGUGCAGAAGCAAUAGCUCUUUUCAGAUUGUGGAAACAGAUGAUAGUUUCUUCAGUGAGGUGAAAGGGCUCACUCCUGAGGGCAUCAUAGAGUGGCUGCAUGAGCUUUGAUGCUUCGGGUAUCCAGGACCUGCAGUAUGUGAUAAGACCCAAGAAGGCAUGAAGAGUCUGAUGUGUUGCAGGUAAUUGGAGUUGCAAAAUAGCUUGUACACGCUGAGAAGUUAGAUGUCUGGUGCCAUGGGAAAGACAAUGUCCCAAGAAGACCACAGAGGGCCGGCACCAUUGCAGCUUGGAUUUGGAAGUUUUGCAACCUGCAGCAGCGAGGAAACAUAGGAGAUCUUCUGAGUCACGCUCUGCAAUAAGCAAAUUAGGAGCACAGAGAAGGAGGUCAUCAACAUAUUGAAGUAGAAUAACAUCCAGAUGAGUAUGGGGGUUUGGAACAAUAGCAGUGUCCUUUAUGGUUACUUCAUUAACAGCACGGAGGUCCUGUACCAUGCGGUACUGGUCGGGUUGGCCCUUAACAGUUCGCUUUUUAACAGGGAAAAGUGGGGUGUUGUAUGGAGAUGUGCACUUGGUGAGGGCACCUUUGGCAAGCAGAGACUCAACUUGUUUGGUGAUGGUUUCAGCUUGUGGUGACUUCAGAGGAUACUGAGGUCUACGAAGAGGAAGUGCUCCAGGCAGGAGCUGGACCAGGACGGGGGGGUACAUGUAAGCGUCCAAUAUCAUCCGGGCCGGUGGACCAAAGUUCUUGGGGGAUACGAUCCAGAGCACUGGGGGGGGGGGUGUGACCCGUGCACUCCCUGUAUUGUCAGUUAGGUUCAACAAGAUGGGGAGUGAGCAGAGUACAGUGGUGUCUGACUGUGAUAAGGGUGUAGUUAACUGGACCCUGGAGCCGAGAAGGAACAUCAGCACCCAAGAGGUUAAUGGGACAAGUAGAAGAAACAACAAAACGUGAGAGUAUGUGUGAACCAACAUGCAGGAGUGUAGGGAGGGGGCUACUGCGGGGUGUACCAUCCACCCCAACACAGGAGACAUCGGUGUCUGACAAAAAGGAGGGGUCAUGGCAGGGGUUGCUGACACAGGCUUGCCGGUAACCCAUUGCAGUAAAUCUAAA
rnacentral:lncRNA from 1 species